GAGCCGUGGCACUGUCAAGUCAUCAGACGCGGUGAUUGCGAGGCCUGUGGGAAAGUACAAAAGCCUGGGCUAGAUUACCCCUCUCAUCGAGCCCGCCUGUGUGGCACCUGUUUCUUAUCACCCCACUAAGUUCCCGCUUCACAGGGUAGUCUGCCUACCUAUUAAUCCUAUAUAUAGCCAGUGCCUCCACCCCCGAGAGAGAGAGAGACUGAAGCACAAAAGGGGCCGCGGGGAGCGGACCGGUAGAGGCUUCGGGGCAGACUGAAGCACGGAAGGAGCCGCAGAGAGUGGACCGGUAGAGGCUUCGGGGCAGACUGUAUAAGGAGAGAAUAAAGAAAAGCCUGACCACCGCCAGACCUUGUCGUGUGUCUUUCCUGCUGGCCGGGAGCGGACAUCGACAUUUGGAGGCCCGCACGGGGAUUGAUCAACCCCGAGACGCGGCGGUGGACUGCAUUCUCCUACACAGUGCUGCAGCUGCAGGACAGGAAUCGGGACGAGAACCAAUGUGGGUCCCAGAGAGGUUGACGCGACAAGUCCCUCGACUGAAGAUCAGGCCUGUUCCACCAGAGGCCAACCACAGACCCAACAACAAGAUGAGCCCUAAAAGAACUGCAGGACAAUCCCUUUUUGGGGGCCUGGAACGGCUUGCUCCCCUAUGUGCUACCCUUGUAUACGCAUGGCUCGCUCGCAUGGCCUACGACUGCGUUUAAAAGUGACAGGCUUCCCACAUUCUCCUCCCUAGACAACAACAUGUAGCAGGGUGGGUGAGUCAAUGACGGGUAAGAGCGUGCCUCCCCAGCACGACUCAACCUAAGCCAGGCCCUACCCCGUUCCGCUCGAAAGCCGCUGGAUUGUUAGAUAAAUUUCUCUCCGAGGGUUUUCGUGGAGAGAAAUGAGUGCAUGCCUAUGUGCAACCAGGUUCCGUCCGGUUCAUUCCUGGCCCUAGAAAAAAGGACGAGGGCCUCAGGGCCUUGGUGGACCCUGGGACGGCCGACCAGGGUCUACGCUAAGGGCCUACGGUGGGCCUCAGUUCGGGGCAUAGGCCUCUGCACUCUAUCCAGGACGGGCUGCGAUGUGCGUAGCCAUCAUUUAAAAUAAAAUAGGGGGAGAUGUUGGGAGCCGUGGCACUGUCAAGUCAUCAGACGCGGUGAUUGCGAGGCCUGUGGGAAAGUACAAAAUCCUGGGCUAGAUUAUCCCUCUCAUCGAGCCCGCCUGUGUGGCACCUGUUUCUUAUCACCCCACUAAGUUCCCGCCUCACAGGGUAGUCUGCCUAGCUAUUAAUCCUAUAUAUAGCCAGUGCCUCCACCCCCGAGAGAGAGAGAGACUGAAGCACAAAAGGGGCCGCGGGGAGCGGACCGGUAGAGGCUUCGGGGCAGACUGAAGCACGGAAGGAGCCGCGGAGAGCGGACCGGUAGAGGCUUCGGGGCAGACUGUAUAAGGAGAGAAUAAAGAAAAGCCUGACCACCGCCA